rnacentral:rRNA from 1 species
UGCUGUGAACUCGAAGAGUAGGGCGGGACACGUGGUAUCCUGUCUGAAUAUGGGGGGACCAUCCUCCAAGGCUAAAUACUCCUGACUGACCGAUAGUGAACCAGUACCGUGAGGGAAAGGCGAAAAGAACCCCGGCGAGGGGAGUGAAAAAGAACCUGAAACCGUGUACGUACAAGCAGUGGGAGCCUCUUUAUGGGGUGACUGCGUACCUUUUGUAUAAUGGGUCAGCGACUUAUAUUCUGUAGCAAGGUUAACCGUAUAGGGGAGCCGAAGGGAAACCGAGUCUUAACUGGGCGUUAAGUUGCAGGGUAUAGACCCGAAACCCGGUGAUCUAGCCAUGGGCAGGUUGAAGGUUGGGUAACACUAACUGGAGGACCGAACCGACUAAUGUUGAAAAAUUAGCGGAUGACCUGUGGCUGGGGGUGAAAGGCCAAUCAAACCGGGAGAUAGCUGGUUCUCCCCGAAAGCUAUUUAGGUAGCGCCUCGUGAACUCAUCUUCGGGGGUAGAGCACUGUUUCGGCUAGGGGGCCAUCCCGGCUUACCAACCCGAUGCAAACUACGAAUACCGAAGAAUGUUAUCACGGGAGACACACGGCGGGUGCUAACGUCCGUCGUGAAGAGGGAAACAACCCAGACCGCCAGCUAAGGUCCCAAAGUCAUGGUUAAGUGGGAAACGAUGUGGGAAGGCACAGACAGCCAGGAUGUUGGCUUAGAAGCAGCCAUCAUUUAAAGAAAGCGUAAUAGCUCACUGGUCGAGUCGGCCUGCGCGGAAGAUGUAACGGGGCUAAACCAUGCACCGAAGCUGCGGCAGCGACACUAUGUGUUGUUGGGUAGGGGAGCGUUCUGUAAGCCGUUGAAGGUGUGCUGUGAGGCAUGCUGGAGGUAUCAGAAGUG